CGCCGGCCUCAUUUUUAGGAAGUGUUCUCUCCGCGUAGCACGUGCUAACAACAAGCAACACACAGCCGAGCCAGGCACCAGAGGCUAACAUCUGUAAGGGAUUUGUACAGUGAGAUGAUGAACUAAUAAUACAUGUGAACGUUUUAAACUCAUUGCAGUCCCACUCAGUGCGACCCCACGCCGGGUCAGAGGGGCGGAGAUGGAGACGCCGUGUCAGUGCAGAACCCCGAGCGCGUCGGGCGCAUGACCGGUCCUGGAAUCCCAACAGGUGUUCCCAAUUCCCCGUUACCAUGGCGACCGCCCCUCUUUGUCCCCCUCGCUCACCCUUUUGCCGUUUCCCCUCCAAAAAAUAACCCUCUCCGUCAAAUCUCACCUCCUCCGCUGACUUGUAAUCAUAGGCGUCCUUUAAUGGGUUCGGUUAAUCAGAUUCAGGUGAUUCCAGGAUGAGACGUCGCUCCGAGUGGGGGUUUGGUGUGCGGCCGCCAGGGGGGGCCGCGGCUCAUCCGCGAAAGACUCGGCCCGCCUCCCCCAAAAACACGGAGCCGGCUGGUCGCAGGUCAGCGGGAGGCCCCCCGGGAGACACCGGGCGCUCCAGUUGAGCUGAUUCCGGAGAGGAGGCCCGAAGGCACUGCGGCGGGGAAAGUUUACCCCCCCCGGCGGAGGAUGUAACUCCUCGACCGUCCUCCUCCUCCUAGCCUUUGACCUCCGCCUCCUCCUCUUCGCUUUCCCCCGAUGGGCCUGUUGCAUAUUUAGCUGUUGUCAUGGCAGCGGCUGUUUGUUUGAGACCGUGACGGGAUCAUCUGUUAGGUCACCUGACGCGACCUCACUCUGAACCCCCGCGCACACAAUCGCAGUGUGAUGUCAUCUCAAACAAGGCGCCUCAAAGGGAAGCGCCAGCGUCGCCUAUGAUGCCGUGUGUAUUUGCUCUUCUGAUUUUAUGAAGAUUAAUGGAACAAAGAGGAGGAGCGAGUGUGUCUGUCUUUCUCAGGCCACCGUACGAAUCCAUACGUCUCCACGAUGUGUUCCGUAGACGUACGGAAUCCCACCCGUCUGCCCAAAAUCUGAGCUUUUGAUUCGUUCAUUAAUCGGCUCCUGAGGUUCUUCCUUCCUCUACCAGAAGUGGCCUCCCCAUCGCCCGUCUUCCCACUAAAGUGCAAGUGUCAUUCCUUCCUGCAGAGAAUAUCCUGCACCUCGUUCCAACACGUUUCCACCGACAUGCCGCUGUCUGCUGCUUCGCUCUUUCCAAGGAGCGCAUCGAUUUCUCUCUUCUAUUAAAUGAGUUGUUUCAACACAGCGGGGGUGAUCGGGACGGGACGUAUGAGUACAUUUCAGAGCGUGGAGAGAUGGUUGGGGGCAGAUACGUUCACAAAUGAAUAGUGGGCUUGUUUAUGCUCUCAGACGGAGAGAAUGGGGGGGGGGGGGGGGGUCACCAUAUACGUCCUUUGGUUUGGAAUCUACAACUUUAAAUUUAUAUUUUCAACAUGACGAAUCCAUUAUUAAUUUCUUCUUCUUCUUCCCCACAUGAAACCCUCUGGAGGUUUGGAUACGAGUGAAGUGUGAGUGACAUUUUCGCCUGCAAAUGAGUGGUGAAUAUUCAUUUGCACUUAGAGUGAAAAGGAAAAUACCUUUUAUUUAAAUGUGCAAAAUGUGUAAUGACUGUACAAUAGAUCUAUACAGGUCAGCCAUUUUAUUCAUAUUUAUUUUUGUGCACAAAAAUGGUCCGGAAACGUUUUUUGUUACCCUACGAUUUCUAAUAACAAAAUACGGCAUCAAAAU
ensembl:lncRNA